UACGUAGGGAGCAAGCGUUAUCCGGAAUUAUUGGGUGUAAAGGGUGCGUAGACGGGAAAGCGAGUUGGUUGUGAAAUCCCCAGGCUUAACUUGGGAACUGCAACCAAAACUACUAUUCUUGAGUGCAGGAGAGGAAAGUGGAAUUCCUAGUGUAGCGGUGAAAUGCGUAGAAAUUAGGAGGAACACCAGUGGCGAAGGCGGCUUUCUGGACUGUAACUGACGUUGAGGCACGAAAGUGUGGGGAGCAAAC
rnacentral:rRNA from 1 species